rnacentral:rRNA from 1 species
ACGCUGGCGGCAGGCCUAACACAUGCAAGUCGAGCGGCAGCACAGGUACUUGUACCGGGUGGCGAGCGGCGGACGGGUGAGUAAUGCCUAGGAAUCUGCCUGGUAGUGGGGGAUAACGCUCGGAAACGGACGCUAAUACCGCAUACGUCCUACGGGAGAAAGCAGGGGACCUUCGGGCCUUGCGCUAUCAGAUGAGCCUAGGUCGGAUUAGCUGGUUGGUGGGGUAAUGGCUCACCAAGGCGACGAUCCGUAACUGGUCUGAGAGGAUGAUCAGUCACACUGGAACUGAGACACGGUCCAGACUCCUACGGGAGGCAGCAGUGGGGAAUAUUGGACAAUGGGCGCAAGCCUGAUCCAGCCAUGCCGCGUGUGUGAAGAAGGUCUUCGGAUUGUAAAGCACUUUAAGUUGGGAGGAAGGGCCGUUACCUAAUACGUGAUGGUUUUGACGUUACCGACAGAAUAAGCACCGGCUAACUCUGUGCCAGCAGCCGCGGUAAUACAGAGGGUGCAAGCGUUAAUCGGAAUUACUGGGCGUAAGGCGCGCGUAGGUGGUUUGUCAAGUUGAAUGUGAAAGCCCCGGGCUCAACCUGGGAACUGCAUGCAAACUGGC